ensembl:snRNA U1 U1 spliceosomal RNA
ACACUUAACCUGGUAGGGGAGAUACCAUGAUCACAAAGGUGUUUUUCCCAGGGUGAGGCUUAUCUGUUGCAGACCCCUUUGAUUUCCCCAGAUGUGGGAAACUACUGCAUAGUUUGUAGUACAGGGGACUGCCUUCAGACUUUGCCCUU